GUACUACUGGAGAGUCCCAAACUAAGACGAAACAGCUGUCCAGUAC
rfam:Trichobilharzia regenti genome assembly, scaffold: TRE_scaffold0023600